UGCCGAAACCCGGGAUCGAACCAGGGACCUUUAGAAAUUCAGUCUAACGCUCUUCUAACUGAGCUAUUUCAGC
rnacentral:tRNA from 1 species